GCACAUAAUACAUCUUUCUUGCCGUAGAAAACCUGCAGGAAAUCAGAACCGUGUGCCGCUGCCUGGAGAGCAGCCUCGCUGCCUGACUUCCAGCUGUGAACGGCAGCUGCUCUGAGGAGGCCCCUGGAGUGGUGGAGUAGUAGUGUUCCUCUACCAUUGAGAGCUUUAGUUUCCUGUCAUCUGAAAACAUUUUACAUCUGGACUUUUAUCCCCCAGACCUGGACAGUUUAGCGAGUAGGUCUUUAGCACUGCUUUAUAAUUCCUGUUUGGGCAGGACCUUUCACUUACGGAAAGACAGACUCGACCUUUGUGAGGUAACGGUAACCGUUUGCCCUAGGAUUUUUUUUUUUUUUUUGGUAGCAAAGUUUUUUAUUUCCAUACUGAACAAAUGGAGAUAAUCAUGCUUUGUUAAGUAGGGGUUACAUGAAGGAAAAACUGCAGAGGCUGCUGUGUGAAGGAUGAGUGUGUUUACAUCUGUCAGUCAACAGUUGGCCUACCAUAGGGCUCUCCUGGUCCUGGUGACCAAAAGCCUUUGCUAAAUAAAGAACACUGCAGGAGAAAUAUUUUUUAGUUGACUACUGAAUCGAAGAGGUGAGGCGCCAGAGUUCGAAUCUUUAUAUUGAGGUGAGUUUGUUAAAAAUCAACCAGCCAAACAACCCUUUACCUGAGGUUUUCCUAGUUGAUUUCCUUGAAAUUAGAAAAAAAAAAAGAUUUGUUUUCUUCCUUCCUGUUUCAUUGUUGUGAUGUUGGCGAUCAAACCCUUGUGUGUUCUGGGUGUCUUCCCCACACUGAGCUCCACUCCAGCUCAAAUCGAUGGCCUGUGCAUCUCUGUUUAUCUCCAUUCGGAUAAGAGGUGUAUGACAACAGUCCUCUACCUGUUUUUGUUUCUCCUGAGACUGAUAAAACCUCUUACCCUUUCCAAAGCAACAGCUGUCUCUAAGAGCCAACAGCUUUCUAGAAGGGAUCCCGUGCUUUCAGGUGGGCCCUGUGAAGGCCGCAUUCUCACUAAAGGAGGCUCUAAGUCGGUGCAGUGCCCAGUGCAUUCCCGAAUGCCCCUUCCUCCUGGAGGCAGAAGUAUGCAGGUUUUCCCUGAGAGUUGGGCACUUUGUCUGGCGUAGCAUUUCAACUUGACUUUUUUUUUUAUUUUUUAUUUAUUAAUGGUUCCUUUGAAAAACAGUUUGUGAAGCAGGAUUUUGUUUCUAAAUGUCCUCAGAGAGCAGAGCGAUUGGUGGCUUAAAGGCAAUUCCUUUGCACGCCAUUAGGUGGCAGUAGAGAGUCUGAGCGGCUGCGGGCCUGGCUCCUAGUAUUAUGAGUUAGAGACAUUUUUCCUUCUGACCUGAACAUUCCGUUGAAGUGAUAGACUCCAAAGCAUUCUCUCUUGAGUUGAAAGGAUUCAACUUUUUCAAACCACUUUUUAACAAAAACAUUUUUUUUAUUAAAAUUCUUUUCUUUAUCCUUCCUUCCUUCCUUCCUUCCUAAUUUUUUUCCUCCAAUUUUCCAAGACAGGGUUUCUCUGUGUAGUCCUGGCUCUCGCUCUGUAGAUCAUGCUGGCCCCCAGCUCAGAGAUCUCCCUGCCUCUGCUUCCUGAAUUCUGGAUGGAAUUUAAAGUGUGCACCACCACCAACUGGCCAAAACAAACAAACAAACAAACAAACAAACAGCCCCAAAGAACAACAAAACCACUUUACUUUUUUAAGUUUGAAGGUAAUUUCUAAAGUUUAAAUGGGUCCAUUUUGAAGCUCGUGUAAAGAGUGGCCAUCAGACAGUAUUAUCAAUUUAUUCAAAUUAUGUCUAUGUCUAAACCUGGAUAAAAGAAACCUAAAUUUCGCCGUAAAACAUCAGCAUAUUUCAAGGCAAAUUUGCAGUAUUUUAAGACAAGGGUAGUGUCAAUUUAUUAAGUGCCUUAUAGGACAGGGUCUUACCCUGCCUUCUUCUCUCUGGAGUUAAUACGGUUGUUGAUAUUUCUAACCCAGAGACAACUUAAAGCACUUGGUGAUGUGGGUGUGGCUGUAACACUUCACCACCUGUCAUUUUCCUCAAGUAUGGUGAGACCAUUUCAAGUUUUUGUGGCUGAGUCGAAGGAAAUUGUGUUUGUGUUGUUACUGCUGCUCUGUGUUGCUGGUCGGUAAUGUGAACAAUGGCUCCUGUUCUCUGUGUUUAUUUAUGAGCUAUAAAACUGUAUGUACCAUGUAAAGAGUAUACAUUUUCCACAAGCUUUUCUACUUCAAGCUCUUUAUACAUUGUUGGACUGUGUGGCAUAAACCUUGUUUCAUUUAAUAAAUGGAAAUAAUAUAUGAUAAUAUGGCU
rnacentral:lncRNA from 1 species